GUAAGGGAGCGUCGGUGCGCGCGGCACGCCGGGAGUUGUAGGUACAAUGGGCGGUCUCGGAGGCCGGUUCCAGGUUCCUGCCUUUACGUCUAUACUGUGUGCAUCAUCGUCCCGGUGAUGAGGCUCCAGGACCUGAGCCUUCUCUUCUGUAAAAUGGUGGAAGACGUGAACUACGUGAUAACCAGACCGUAGCCAUGACAUAAGCUAAGCUGUUACGAUUUCGAGAACUGGCCUCAAGGACUUGGGAACAAACUGACCCUGGAACUGAAGAUUAACUGUACAGAAACAGUCAGGGUGACGCUGCAGACCACUGAGCGACCAAUUUGAAGAUGACUGUCGGAGCUGGCUGUGCUCUUUCUGCAUGCAGCCCCCUCCCUCUGUCUAUAAAGCCUCUCGCCCACUGAUUGUCAUUGGGUGGGGGGUGUCAGCCUUUGGAAGGAAUCCACCUCUCCUUCACCCCAGUUGCCAGCAUCCAAAAUAAAGCAAACUUGCUUUUCCACCAA